GACGAACGCUGGCGGCGUGCUUAACACAUGCAAGUCGAGCGGUAAGGCCCUUUCGGGGGUACACGAGCGGCGAACGGGUGAGUAACACGUGGGUGACCUGCCCUCAGCUCUGGGAUAAGCCUGGGAAACCGGGUCUAAUACUGGAUAUGACUCCAUGACGCAUGUUGUGGGGUGGAAAGCCUUGUGCGGCUGAGGAUGGGCCCGCGGCCUAUCAGCUUGUUGGUGGGGUGAUGGCCUACCAAGGCGACGACGGGUAGCCGGCCUGAGAGGGCGACCGGCCACACUGGGACUGAGACACGGCCCCAGACUCCUACGGGGGGCAGCAGUGGGGAAUCUUGCGCAAUGGGCGAAAGCCUGACGCAGCGACGCCGCGUGAGGGAUGACGGCCUG
rnacentral:rRNA from 1 species